CCUACGGGAGGCAGCAGUGAGGAAUAUUGGUCAAUGGACGAGAGUCUGAACCAGCCAAGUAGCGUGAAGGAUGACUGCCCUAUGGGUUGUAAACUUCUUUUAUAUGGGAAUAAAAUGUUCCACGUGUGGGAUUUUGUAUGUACCAUAUGAAUAAGGAUCGGCUAACUCCGUGCCAGCAGCCGCGGUAAUACGGAGGAUCCGAGCUUUAUCCGGAUUUAUUGGGUUUAAAGGGAGCGUAGGUGGAUUGUUAAGUCAGUUGUGAAAGUUUGCGGCUCAACCGUAAAAUUGCAGUUGAAACUGGCAGUCUUGAGUACAGUAGAGGUGGGCGGAAUUCGUGGUGUAGCGGUGAAAUGCUUAGAUCUCACGAAGAACUCCGAUUGCGAAGGCAGUUCACUGGACUGCAACUGACACUGAGGCUCGAAAGUGUGGGUAUCAAACAGGAUUAGAUACCCUUGUAGUC
rnacentral:rRNA from 1 species